rnacentral:rRNA from 1 species
UACAGAGGGGGCAAGCGUUGUUCGGAAUUACUGGGCGUAAAGGGCGCGUAGGCGGCCUGCUAAGUCGGACGUGAAAUCCCCGGGCUCAACCCGGGAACUGCGUCCGAUACUGACAGGCUUGAAUCCGGGAGAGGGAUGCGGAAUUCCAGGUGUAGCGGUGAAAUGCGUAGAUAUCUGGAGGAACACCGGUGGCGAAGGCGGCAUCCUGGACCGGCAUUGACGCUGAGGCGCGAAAGCCAGGGGAGCAAACGGG